GACGAACGCUGGCGGCGUGCCUAAUACAUGCAAGUCGAGCGAGCGGAACCAACAGAUUUACUUCGGUAAUGACGUUGGGAAAGCGAGCGGCGGAUGGGUGAGUAACACGUGGGGAACCUGCCCCUAAGUCUGGGAUACCAUUUGGAAACAGGUGCUAAUACCGGAUAAUAAAGCAGAUCGCAUGAUCAGCUUUUGAAAGGCGGCGUAAGCUGUCGCUAAGGGAUGGCCCUGCGGUGCAUUAGCUAGUUGUUAAGGUAACGGCUUACCAAGGCGACGAUGCAUAGCCGAGUUGAGAGACUGAUCGGCCACAUUGGGACUGAGACACGGCCCAAACUCCUACGGGAGGCAGCAGUAGGGAAUCUUCCACAAUGGACGCAAGUCUGAUGAAGCAACGCCGCGUGAGUGAAGAAGGUUUUCGGAUCGUAAAGCUCUGUUGUUGGUGAAGAAGGAUAGAGGUAGUAACUGGCCUUUAUUUGACGGUAAUCAACCAGAAAGUCACGGCUAACUACGCGCCAGCAGCCGCGGUAAUACGUAGGUGGCAAGCGUUGUCCGGAUUUAUUGGGCGUAAAGCGAGCGCAGGCGGAAAAAUAAGUCUAAUGUGAAAGCCCUCGGCUUAACCGAGGA
rnacentral:rRNA from 1 species